ensembl:lncRNA
GCAGAGGUCAUGCAGCAGUCGAACGUGGUCUCCAAGAAUUCUGGAGACAUCACACAGCAGCCUGAGCUGUGGCGAGGAGAGGGGGAGGACGUUGUCCCCCCUGGGGGAGCAGGAGAUGAAGGACGAUGGCAGGGAAGUGAUGAGUGGACCGUGGAGAGGACGAGACAGAAGGAGACCCCCGUCCUGUUCUGGCAGUAGGGGAGGGCUCCUUCAGAAAGGACCUCGGAGGCCAAGUACUGCACCUGCAGACACCGGCCUCCAGAGACCAGGCCAGGACCUACCAGAAACUCCCAGGUGCGCAGUGGUCAGGAGCUCCAGAGAUGGUCUGGGGAAAUCCGUGUCCCUUUCCGCCCUCCACCUGUACCUGCCCUCGUCGUCCGAUGCGGCGGAGAAGGAGCGGGAGGCAGCACAGGGGAAGUCCAUCCGUGACCUCGCUGAAGACCGGUAUGACCUUCACCGUUUUUCUUAUGCUACGAAGGUGGAGCUUCUCUGUAUUUUGUGGGGUAGGGAUGCAUGGCAGGGCAGGGGAACGUGUUUUUGCCAGCGCGGUGAUCUUUAACAAUGCAGUCGGGUGUCCGACGCCAACAAAUGAUGGCACCAGGUUCGUUGGUUGGCGGGUGUGGAGCCCUGGAGACCCAGGGCUGGUUGUGGUGACUGCAUUUUAAAUUUGAAGUAUCUUUAAACGUUGAUAGUACGAAUUUAAGAUGUUUUGUAGAAUGUUCUAUUGGCCUUGUACCAUGACUCGUGCACGGCACUCGGCCGCGCCCAAACCGAGCUGAUCUCACAGCCCUGUUACUGAGCGAAAAGGGCAGCUGCUGAGACUGAGGGCAAAAUUUCAUAACUCCCCAGGAAUAUGAUCCCUCUGUCUCUGAGGGAUUUGAGGGCCGAUCGAAUGGCCUCCAGGUGGUUCCCAUCCCAGUCCAGGCAGAUCAUUAGCAUCGGUCAGGGGGAGAAGGUUUCACUUGUAGGUUGGGCUUGUAGGUCAGCCUGAUACUGGCCAGUAGUAUAGAGACUAUAGAGCCUCCCACUGUUGCCAGAUACAGGAUUUUUUUCAGCAAAAAAAAAAAAUGUGCACAAAAUUCUGAAUAUGAAUCACCCAAUCUGGCAACAGCACAGCCUGAUCUCGCCUAGCAAGGCACAUUAAAGCACGGUUGUCAGAUAACCGAUCUGCUUUAUUCAUGCUGCCUGUAUGUUAAAAGAUAAGUUUGAUUGACAGGACACGCAUGUUAGAUUUAGUUGAGUGGCAGCGGAACCUCUGCUCCAGCUGCACUGGAAUGCAAGGUAAGCCUGCAGAUACUGUGUCUCAGCGAUAUUCGGCCCUCGUCGCUGGAGCCCAAACGCAGGUGAGACGUUCCAGACGUUCUACACGUACGGGUUGGUUACAGCGUGGGUGAAGGUGCCGGCUCGCUACAAGCUCCAGCAGUAACCAGAACUCUCCACACAACAGGUGUCUGGGGAGGAGAUCAGGAACGCAGAGCGACGCAGACGUUGCUGCAGACCAGGCGCAGCAAGAUCAGACGGAGAUCAGACCACGGGAGUACGGCCCAGAGACCCCAACACCACGGGUCUUCACAUGGAGCCAAACGCUGGAGGACUCGGAGGGUGCCAAGAACAACACAGCAGACAAAAAUGCACAACGAGAGCAGGACGAGAGCACGGACAAACCAAAUAGGGGGGAAGAAGAUCCAGAGGACUGCGCAAACCAAACAGAGAAGAACCAUCUCAGUGAAGAUGACCAGGGCUACACUGGACAAGCAGUAAACAAGGCAGAGCAAUGCGCCGUUCUUCAUGCUGUAGGCCCCGAGAAUCCUUCUGUUAGUCUAGACCAGGGCAGGCGUGGAUGUGGAAUGGACUCAACGGCAGAAGGUGAGGGACGAGGGACCCAGGGAUCAAAAAUCCUCACCACAAGGGUCCACAUUCUCACCUCGGCCCCAUCAUUCUUCUGGAGAGUCAUGGACUUGACAGCCAUCGCCUCAACUGCUAUUCUGCCGUCGUCUCAUGGACCCGGCUCUGUCUACAGGUCGACCUCCAGAGAUGUCCCUCAUGGAAGAACGAAGAACAGAGUUCACUCCAGUCUCCUGUAUCCCCGGAAGGAGGCAGGGAAAGUUCUAGAUCCCCGGCUGACAGUCAGGGGCACUGAGAUCAUCCCACUUCCCAAAUCAAAAAAAACCCCAAGGCUCUGUAUGGGGGUCCUAGGGGACCAGGAGUCCACAGAACGUCCAUUUCCAGGCUGAAGAUAACGGUCAUUAAAAUAAAAACCAUUGAGCCAGUGGUUCUCCA